rnacentral:rRNA from 1 species
UACGGGGGGGGGCAAGCGUUGUUCGGAAUUACUGGGCGUAAAGGGCUCGUAGGCGGCCAACUAAGUCAGACGUGAAAUCCCUCGGCUUAACCGGGGAACUGCGUCUGAUACUGGAUGGCUUGAGUUCGGGAGAGGGAUGCGGAAUUCCAGGUGUAGCGGUGAAAUGCGUAGAUAUCUGGAGGAACACCGGUGGCGAAGGCGGCAUCCUGGACCGAUACUGACGCUGAGGCACGAAAGCGUGGGGAGCAAACAGG